GCCGUCUUAGCUCAGCAGGUAGAGCACAUCCAUGGUAAGGAUGGGGUCGCAAGUUCAAGUCUUGUAGAUGGCACCA
rnacentral:tRNA from 2 species